rnacentral:misc_RNA from 1 species
UAAAGGCUAGCUUUGUUACAAGAGUAAACCAUAUAUAGUAGUGCUGCAAAAAAUUGAAGAUUUCUCUCGUGCGGUGUUUGACUGAACUUUUUUCUGCUGGAAAAUCUUUUCACCUGCUAUAGAAACAAAAGCUUUGGGUUUGAUAAUAUCUGACCUCAGUCGGAUCACAUAGAGGAAAGGUGCUAUGCAUAAGUGAAGGGCUAACAUAACCAAAACACUAGGAAGGUGCACAUCUCAAAUUAAGAUACAGUAGUCGUGUCGAGGCCCAGGCGCAUGUAAUCAGGGUAUCUUUUUCUAGCUACUCAAGAGCACCUACAAAUAUCAGGAACCCUCAACAAAAUCCAUAGUAAUUGUUACAUUUCUAUGCAAUAAGCAGACACUAUUAGCCAAAAGAUUCAAAACUUGUGCGAGUCAGUUCCCCCGUUAAUUCCAAACCCACAAUCCUUGGAUCUGCAAAAAGUGGGCAGUUAGUAAAUCAUCAGACCUGCUCCUCUUGUGCUGAUAUCAUUGUUUCCCCUCGAAUCAUUUCACCCUGCUGUCUUUUUCUUGGGCCGGGGGAAGAUUCGAGGAUAAGACAGCACACUUGUGAGUUACACUUUAAAAUCUACCAGCAAGACUUUCGUAAAGGCACUUUAAUAGUUAAG